GGCGGCGUGCUUAACACAUGCAAGUCGAACGAUGAAGCCCUUCGGGGUGGAUUAGUGGCGAACGGGUGAGUAACACGUGGGCAAUCUGCCCUUCACUCUGGGACAAGCCCUGGAAACGGGGUCUAAUACCGGAUAUCACUCCCGCAGGCAUCCUGUGGGAGUCGAAAGCUCCGGCGGUGAAGGAUGAGCCCGCGGCCUAUCAGCUUGUUGGUGAGGUAACGGCUCACCAAGGCGACGACGGGUAGCCGGCCUGAGAGGGCGACCGGCCACACUGGGACUGAGACACGGCCCAGACUCCUACGGGAGGCAGCAGUGGGGAAUAUUGCACAAUGGGCGAAAGCCUGAUGCAGCGACGCCGCGUGAGGGAUGACGGCCUUCGGGUUGUAAACCUCUUUCAGCAGGGAAGAAGCGCAAGUGACGGUACCUGCAGAAGAAGCGCCGGCUAACUACGUGCCAGCAGCCGCGGUAAUGCGUAGGGCGCAAGCGUUGUCCGGAAUUAUUGGGCGUAAAGAGCUCGUUGGCGGCUUGUCUCGUCGGGUGUGAAAGCCCGGGGCUUAACCCCGGGUCUGCAUUCGAUACGGGCUAGCUAGAGUGUGGUAGGGGAGAUCGGAAUUCCUGGUGUAGCGGUGAAAUGCGCAGAUAUCAGGAGGAACACCGGUGGCGAAGGCGGAUCUCUGGGCCAUUACUGACGCUGAGGAGCGAAAGCGUGGGGAGCGAACAGGAUUAGAUACCCUGGUAGUCCACGCCGUAAACGGUGGGAACUAGGUGUUGGCGACAUUCCACGUCGUCGGUGCCGCAGCUAACGCAUUAAGUUCCCCGCCUGGGGAGUACGGCCGC
rnacentral:rRNA from 1 species